rnacentral:rRNA from 1 species
GACGAACGCUGGCGGCGUGCUUAACACAUGCAAGUCGUACGGUAAGGCCCUUUCUGGGUUCCACGGGUGGCGACCGGGUGGGUAACAGUGGGGUACCUGGCCCACACUUUUGGGUUAACGUUAGGAAAUUGUGGCUAUUACUGGUAAGUGGCUCUGGCUGCAUGGGGGGGGUUGGAAGGCUCCGGGGGUUGUGGAGGGACCCGCGGCCUAUCGGCUGGUUGGUGGGGGAGUGGCCUACCAAGGCGGCGACGGGUAGCCGGCCUGAGAGGGUGACCGGCCACAUUGGGACUGAGAUACGGCCCAGACUCCUACGGGAGGCAGCAGUGGGGAAUAUUGCACAAUGGGCGCAAGCCUGAUGCAGCAACGCCGCGUGCGGGAUGACGGCCUUCGGGUUGUAAACCGCUUUCAGCAGGGACGAAGCUUUUUGUGACGGUACCCGCAGAAGAAGCACCGGCUAACUACGUG